AAAAAAAAAAAAUUACCUGCCAUAAAGGAAUGGGGAAUUGAACGGGGAAGACAACAUGUAAACAACCAAGCACAUAUGAGAUAUAGAGACUAGAUGAAAAGCAAUUUCAGAGCAUAAGAGACACUGCCAAGGAAAUAGCCUGGUCAUCUAAUAAUGGAACCAAUUGACUGAAAGCACUUUGAAGGAAAACCCCAACCCAGCAAAAAGUUGCUGUUCCUGGCUCACUCAAGCUCUGUUCUACAUUUUACCCUUUAAGCCCAGGGGUCCUCUUUGUCAGGGCACAAGAGUACCUCCUGUGCUGAGUCUCCCAUGGGGCUGUAUUUCAGUGAUGCCCCAAGGCUUACUGAUCUUUACACAUAGGUCUAUUUGAUGGUCCUACAUUGUGGUACUUUGUAAGUCCUUUCUGGUUUUUAUAGUUUUUCUCUGUCCUUCACUGUCAGGCUAUCAGGUGUCACUUGUCACUACAGUCAGUAUCCCCUCCCCCAACUUUCUUCUUCAAGGUUUCAAGAGAAAAGCCCAGAUCAUGCUGGCUUUCAUCA